GAUGAACGCUGGCGGCGUGCCUAAUACAUGCAAGUCGAGCGAACGGACGAGAAGCUUGCUUUUCUGAUGUUAGCGGCGGACGGGUGAGUAACACGUGGAUAACCUACCUAUAAGACUGGGAUAACUUCGGGAAACCGUAGCUAAUACCGGAUAAUAUUUUGAACCGCAUGGUUCAAAAGUGAAAGACGGUCUUGCUGUCACUUAUAGAUGGAUCCGCGCUGCAUUAGCUAGUUGGUAGGGUAACGGCUUACCAAGGCAACGAUGCAUAGCCGACCUGAGAGGGUGAUCGGCCACACUGGAACUGAGACACGGUCCAGACUCCUACGGGAGGCAGCAGUAGGGAAUCUUCCGCAAUGGGCGAAAGCCUGACGGGGCAACGCCGCGUGAGUGAUGAAGGUCUUCGGAUCGUAAAACUCUGUUAUUAGGGAAGAACAUAUGUGUAAGUAACUGUGCACAUCUUGACGGUACCUAAUCAGAAAGCCACGGCUAACUACGUG
rnacentral:rRNA from 1 species